AUUGAACGCUGGCGGCAUGCCUUACACAUGCAAGUCGAACGGCAGCACGGGAGCAAUCCUGGUGGCGAGUGGCGAACGGGUGAGUAAUAUAUCGGAACGUGCCCAGUCGUGGGGAUAACGUAGCGAAAGCUACGCUAAUACCGCAUACGAUCUAUGGAUGAAAGCGGGGGAUCGCAAGACCUCGCGCGAUUGGAGCGGCCGAUAUCAGAUUAGGUAGUUGGUGAGGUAAAGGCUCACCAAGCCGACGAUCUGUAGCUGGUCUGAGAGGACGACCAGCCACACUGGGACUGAGACACGGCCCAGACUCCUACGGGAGGCAGCAGUGGGGAAUUUUGGACAAUGGGCGCAAGCCUGAUCCAGCAAUGCCGCGUGCAGGAUGAAGGCCUCGGUUGUAACUGCUUUGU
rnacentral:rRNA from 1 species